CAGACUCUUCCUCCAGCAAAGCUUUCAUUUGAGAUUUCAAAACAUAUCCAGGAGGAAGAGCAUGCCUAUAGUGGCACUCUUUAGCACCGUUCGGACACGUCCAGAACCAGCCAUAUUGCUUUUUUUCCACUGCAUCCAGAAAAUAUUUACAAAUAAUCUCGGUCGGCUUGUUCUGGUUAUACUCCAACCUUUUCGACUCAAUAACCUUCUCCAGCGUCUCCUGAUCCCAAUCAUCCAUAUUUUCAUCGCGCUUAUCACUGUAAAUAUCAAUCUUCUCCCCUUUCCUUUGCACGUUAAGAUCGUGCGAGAACUUGCACUUGAAACCCUUGGCACACUGCCCAGCCUUGAAGAACUCGCACAGUAUCGACUUCGGAUCCACACCGACGGGGACCUUGGGCUGGCUGACGGCGACCUUGAAUAGAUCGUUCAACUCCUUCUCUCUGGCCUUCUCAUCCUCCUUCUUCUUCUUGGCGG
rnacentral:misc_RNA from 1 species